rnacentral:rRNA from 1 species
AGCCUGAACGCUGGCGGCGUGGCUAAGACAUGCAAGUCGUACGGACCCGCAAGGGUCAGUGGCGAACGGGUGAGUAAUGAAUCGCUAAUGUGCCCCGGACUCAGGGAUAGCUACUCGAAAGGGUAGGUAAUACCUGAUGACAUAACCUUGUCGCAUGGCAGGGUUCUCAAAGGUCCGCCGGUCUGGGAGCAGGCGAUUUCGAUCAGCUAGUUGGUGAGGUAACGGCUCACCAAGGCGACGACGCGUAGCCGGACUGAGAGGUUGGCCGGCCACAUUGGGACUGAGACACUGCCCAGACUCCUACGGGGGGCUGCAGUAACGAAUCUUCCGCAAUGCACGAAAGUGUGACGGAGCGACGCCGCGUGUGGGACGAAGUCCUUCGGGAUGUAAACCACUGUCAGGGUUACCAAGUUCUGAGGAGCCCCAGAGGAAGCACGGCUAACUCUGUGCUAGCAGCCGC